UACGGAGGAUCCGAGCGUUAUCCGGAUUUAUUGGGUUUAAAGGGUGCGUAGGCGGCCUUUUAAGUCAGCGGUGAAAGUCUGUGGCUCAACCAUAGAAUUGCCGUUGAAACUGGGGGGCUUGAGUAUGUUUGAGGCAGGCGGAAUGCGUGGUGUAGCGGUGAAAUGCAUAGAUAUCACGCAGAACCCCGAUUGCGAAGGCAGCAUGCCGGCUUCCUACUGAAGCUGAAGCACGAAAGCGUGGGGAUCGAACAGG
rnacentral:rRNA from 1 species